rnacentral:rRNA from 1 species
GACAGAGGGUGCAAACGUUGUUCGGAAUUACUGGGCGUAAAGCGUGUGUAGGCGGCCUUGUAAGUCGGGUGUGAAAGCCCUGGGCUCAACCCAGGAAGUGCACUCGAUACUGCGAGGCUAGAGUAUCGGAGAGGUUGGUGGAAUUCUCGGUGUAGAGGUGAAAUUCGUAGAUAUCGAGAGGAACACCGGUGGCGAAGGCGGCCAACUGGACGAAUACUGACGCUGAGACACGAAAGCGUGGGGAGCAAACAGG